GUGCUUGCUUCAGCAGCAUAUGUACUAAAAUUGGAACAAUACAGAGAUUAGCUUGCCCCCUGUGUAAGGAUGACACACAAAUUCAUGAAGCGUUCCAUGUUUUU
rnacentral:snRNA from 1 species